rnacentral:rRNA from 1 species
CUACGUGCCAGCAGCCGCGGUAAUACGGAAGGUCCGGGCGUUAUCCGGAUUUAUUGGGUUUAAAGGGAGCGUAGGCUGGAGAUUAAGUGUGUUGUGAAAUGUAGACGCUCAACGUCUGACUUGCAGCGCAUACUGGUUUCCUUGAGUACGCACAACGUUGGCGGAAUUCGUCGUGUAGCGGUGAAAUGCUUAGAUAUGACGAAGAACUCCGAUUGCGAAGGCAGCUGACGGGAGCGCAACUGACGCUGAAGCUCGAAGGUGCGGGUAUCGAACAGGAUUAGAUACCCUGGUAGUCCGCACAGUAAACGAUGGAUGCCCGCUGUUGGUACCUGGUAUCAGCGGCUAAGCGAAAGCAUUAAGCAUCCCACCUGGGGAGUACGCCGGCAACGGUGAAACUCAAAGGAAUUGACGGGGGCCCGCACAAGCGGAGGAACAUGUGGUUUAAUUCGAUGAUACGCGAAGAACCUUACCAGGCCUUGACAU